GCUGGCGAUGAUGACACACUUGCCCUCACUGAGAUCCAUUGCGGGGAUUGUUGUUGAGAACAUCCUCUGUGCUCAUGGUGUACUGAGCCUCC
ensembl:snoRNA